rnacentral:lncRNA from 1 species
UGUGUUUGUGGUGCCAUAUAACAAGAGGAUCUACCUCCGGAACUAAGUGACUUGUGCAACCUUUUUGAGCCACCCAACUUCGACAACGCUUGGGCCAUAAAAAUCCUCUUCUAAUGUUUUUCUGAUCAGACAAGUUGCAUCAAAGAACUUCUUAAUUUCAUGAUUGGAGUUUAGACUAUGACCCUUUACAGGAGUAGUGACAACAGAAGUAAAUGAAGUUUUUUUUUCUAGAUUCUUGAGAGUCUAGAGCUGGUUGCCAGAAUCUAGUAAUUGAACUUAUAGAUGUAUACUCUUUCUCUUGGUUUUGAAGGUAUUCUUAAUCAACUUAGUUCAAAGACUUAUGAAGAGCUCAUUGAAUUGCUAAAAGACUUACUAGUGGUGGGGAGAAUGCAAAGAGAAACUCUCCCAUUCUUUUCUGACAAAUUGUCAACUACCAACCUUAGAAAAGGAUAAUCCCAGGAUCUUUGCCAAUAAUUUCUUCCCCUCUUUGACACGGCUAAAGUGGAUGCAAGUGCUGAAGCUGCAUUUUGCACCUGCAAAGUUUCUAUGACCAACUUGUAGCAUUAAAAGCUGUAAAUGACUAUUCAAUUCCACUCCUUUAACAUGGCUCCCUCUUUUCUUUUUUUUUUAAAAACAAAAAGAAAAGGCUACCUAAGACGCCACCAAGUCUCAUUACUAGGAGAACCACCAAGUCUCAUUAUAGGGAAAAUCAUCAUAAGUCAUUGUUCUAUUUUUUUUUUUAAAUGUGUUGUUCUAACCCAAAGUAUGUAUGAUUACUUGCGAAAUACAAAAGAGUCCCUUUUGCCACCGGUCCGAGUCAUGAAAAUUUCCCCAUGCUAUGCUUUAAGUUCAUAUUGCAUUAGUCUAGGCCUUGGAUGAUCUGGAUCGCGUGUGCUUCGUGCCACUUGCAGCCGAACUCUUGCAGCCAAUUGUUGAUUUCCAAAGUCCAAUCCAGAUCUUGUGCUCGUUGUUUAUUAAUCAGGGCUUUUUAUUUACCAACAAAAAACCAAAAAACUGGCUGGGCAUAGUUUCAUUGAGCACGAAAAUAAGUUUCUUAUGUCCUUGAUGUGAAAUGCUUCUUAAGACUUAAGCUGCAUUUACAUUUCUGACCAUUUUGAGCUGGAAAGCAUGCAUGCUUCUAUAUGUCAAGCAAAGCGAUAAAAGGAUGUUCAAGCAUUUGCAGGUAUUUUGUGAUUAAUGUCUGUUUUCAUCUCCUAGUUUCACCCUUCCACAGGUGCCAAUGUGGAGCGAUCUCGAACAGAAAAAAGCUUCCAAGCAGACAUAAAUCGAUUUGCUGCAUUGACUGAUCACCUUUCUUCCUUAGGAACAAUGACACUUGAAACAGAAAACUCAUUUUCGAGCAGAAAUAAUCAGUGAUGUGAAUAGUAGUUCAUCCUGGAGUGUUCGUAACAUCUCUGAGAGAAUUUUGUUUCGCAAUCUAGCAGUUCUCCAAGAGAAGGUUUAUAGCCAAGCUUCCCCGCAUUGUAGCUGAAUCUCAGCCUAGAUCUUGGCGAGAGGGCCGCCAUGUUUUCCCACACGGUUUUCGAAUCGAUUUCAUGUGACAGUUAUUGUCACAUGACAAAGGAACAGAAAGAGAGGCAAAACAUUGUGUGUUCGUUUCGGGGCAUUACAACAGACUCCAAUUCCUUGGUCUCAUGUUAGGAGAUUCUAGUCGGUGACACCAUGACCAUGCUUUCUCACUCGGUUUUCUCUUUGCUCGUCCUUUCCCUUUCUCUUUGCUGCACAUAAGGGUGACAAAAAAUAAAGGUCUUUUUUUACACCCUUAUUUCUGUUGCAAAUUCUGAUGGUGGCUGUUUCUAAUUAUUAAACAGUGUUUCUUACACAAAUCACAUUUCUUUUUCAUUCUCCCAUGACUUAAGCUAAGGAUCCUUCAUUCUAAUUGUCAUGGAACUACUGAUUAAUUGAUGAGGGUGUAGUUGAGCUCGAUAUCUCCAUAUUUUGACCUUGUUGUUAGCUACAUCACAAGAGGUUUAGUAAACUAUAGAAUAAACUUAUAUAAAAAUUUUUUUGGAUGGAUCAGUAUCAUAAAUUACAUUACAAUUUUUGGUUUGAGAUGGUAAUGGAUAUACCUAGAAAAUGCUUGGAUAUUUUAGAAUAUUCUAUCAUCUUAUGGUUGUUAUUCAUUUAGAUUAAUUUUGUAUUUAUAAUUUAUAAACAUUUUUUAGUAUAUUAUUUUUUAUUCUGUCAUCUAAUGGUUGAUAUGCAAUAAUAUUAAUCUUGUGUAUAUAAAUUACAAACAUGCUUAUAAUUAUAAACUUUAUUUGAUUAUUAAACAAACCAAGCAAUGCAACACGUAGCAAUUUAUUACAAAAUUACAUCAAAGCUUUCAAGUUGGACCCAUCUCUCCUUGGAACUGACAAGAAACACAACACACAAAACUGCAGUUCGAAGCAGCAAGCUGGUGGUGCUCCAAAAUCCUUGCAGACUUUGCUGGAUUGAAGCAUCUGGAGCAGCCCAUGCUUCAUCUCCUAUUGCCAAGAUGAAACAAAAGAGCUCUCUCCUUUUCAAUGGAAGUGGGGGCUGGCCUGAUGCUGUAGAGCAGUUGAUAUCCCACCGAUGGUGGACCAUCAUCAAGGCUUUUUGUGCGGCUCCUCCGCAGAAAAAGAAUUUGUAAGAACAAUCUUUUAUAUUUUUUUUUAAUUCACACAUUAGCAGAUUUACAUGGUCCUUAUGUAAGAGCAACAUUAUUUUUAUAAAUAUUUCUUUAUCCACUCAUGUUCGAGGACCUUUUCGAAAGUAAGCCUCCUUCCGGGAUCCAAUUCCGUCAUACCUUGGAUAAGUUGCCUUGCAGAAAGGGAUGGAAUGCUAUCCCAAUCCAUAGAAUUGUGAUGGAGGUUCCUUAAAGUUCGAUCUCUCUUGCGUGCAUUAUUAAAUACCACCUCCACAUCCAUAUUUGGGAACGGACAAGCUGCCGUGAGGCAAGUGUAAAGCAGCAUCCCUAAGCCCCACACAUCGCUGGCUGUGAUAUAGCGCCCAUCGAGCAUCGCUUCGGGGGACAUAUAAUCCCACGUCCCAGCCCCAUGCUCGUUCCACGGAUCCUCCAUCCAGCAAGCCAUCCCAAAGUCGGACACCUUUGGGACAUAGAACUUCCCAGGCCACGGGUACUUCAGCAAAACAUUCGCGGGCUUCAGGUCGCAGUGGAUGAUCUCGUUGUCAUGAACCCUCUUUAGCGUCUUGGCGAGAGCUAUGACAAUCUUUGCAGAUUCUUCCUCAUCAAGCUGCCCCUUGUACUUGAUCCGGUCCUGAAGGCUGCAAUUGCACAGCUCAAGAACAAGGUGGUACACCUCCCUGUACUGAUUGGGCUCUUCUCGUAUGAUGUGCUCGAAGUGGACGAGCCCCUGUUCAUCCAAACCCUUGAGUGACACCUCUAGCAUAGCCAUCACUCGAGCUUCAAACAGCCCAUCGGGGCCAUGAACUGUCUUGAUCGCAAAAACCUUUCCAUCACUCCUUCGGAAUGCCUUGUACACCAUCGCUUGCCCUCCACCCCCAAUCGACUUCUCUAGUCUAUAUUUCUCUAUGAGCACUGGGUAUUUGUCACAGAGUUUUUCAUCCAGGACCGUGUGGUACUCCAUCCCUUGCCUAGGUUUCUUGAGCGCAUAGUUCUCCUGCUCGCACUCGCACUUAACCAUCUCGAAAGAGCUCUAGGGCUUGUUUGUAAAGGCAGAAUCUUAGUUUAUGCAUCUUUUAUUUUAAAGGUAUCAUGUUUAAGUGAACAUUUCCUGGAAUGCCAAGUGUGGAAGCAUGAGAGACUCUCGGCGAUGGGAUUGAGAACCACGACGUUGUCUCCUGGACGGUAUUGGUUCUGGGAUACGCUCGAAGAUUUGGCUCUGGAGCUCUUCUUGGAGAUGAUUGCUCGAGUUUUCUCGCGGCUAUCAAAGCUUGCUCUAGUCUGGCUGCGCGAGAGGAGAUUGAUGCGUCGUUGGCUGUGAAGAUCAAGAGCUUGGAACGAGCUUUGGCGAUUCACUCUCACGCAUCAAGCUCUCACGGCUUCAAGUUGGAGGCGAGGAGACAUACACUUGGCAAACGCGAUGGUGGACUUGUAUGGCAAGUGUGAAAGUCUAGAAGAUGCUCGCAGGGUGUUUGAUUCGAUGGAGCAGCACGACAUCGUUUCCUGGACAUCGAUCAUCACAGGCUAUGCUCACGAGAGCCAAGAUGGAGACGAAGCUUUCCUUCUCUUCUCUUCCAUGCAAGAACAAGGAUUUAAACCCGAUCGUUUAGCUUGUCUCGCCGCUAUCAAGGCUUGUAGCGUAAUCACGGAGAAGAAAAUGGAAUUUAGACGUAGAAUCUCUCGAGAAAGCAAUGAAAAUCCACUCGUGGAUCUCGCAGCUUGGCCUGGAGAGAGAUCCAGCAGUCUGGUUGAUAUGUAUGCCAAGUGUGGAAGCUUGAUCAUGGACGCUCGCAGGGUAUUUGAUAAGAUCUUAGAUCGCGACAUAGUCUCGUGGAACUCUUUCCUGUUUGGAUGUGUUUACAUUGGCGAGGACGAGCUUGCGUUGGAAUGCUAUGCAGCCCUUUGCUCCAAACUCUCAAACCUUUCUUGCGUUGUUGCCAGUUUGCAGGAACCUGGGAGAUUUGAAGCUCGGGAAGCUCUUCCACGGACAGAUUCUCCGGCAGGGACUGGAAGGGAGUUCUGUGGGGAUUUCCCUGCUUGUGUUGCGGACCACAUAGAAAUCGCUUCCUGCUUCCUGAUGUUGUCAAUCUUUCCAUCACUUUCUUUUCUCCAGGUCCGAAUCACAGCGAAAAGUGGAGCUACCUCUCUGAUACAAUGGCGGCAAUCGAUGGUGGCUUUGCGAAACCUUUGUGGCAAAAAUCCAAUGUGAGAGCUUGGCGAGAGCUUGUUGACAACACCAAGCUUGCUCUCGAGCUUGGUGACUGUGUAAACUCGCUGGUAGCAGCAAAACCAAGGCUCUCAAAACUCCAACAGGGAUCACGCCUUCAAAGAUUGUUUGGCGCGAAUCCUCAAAUAUACAUCAAAGUUUUUUCUCAAGUGCAUCUUUUCCUACUCGCAUGCUCCGAAAUGCUUGGAACCCAGCGAUGGCGUCUCCUCGAGCGCCAUGUCCUGCAAUCAAAGUAUUCCAUGCCAAAGUGUUGGGAGACGCAAUGGAGCUCUCAAACACAAGCUCGGCGACCUCGACGCUCCCGCAUUUACAGUAGAAGUCGAGACUACAUAUCACCUAGUCUGCAGUGAAGGAAAAAGAGAAAGAUCUCAUACCUAUGUGCAAGAUCUAGCAAUUCCAACUUGUCCACAAAUCAUACAGUUGCAUCCUAUCACAACAUUAUGUCCAAUCUACAUGCAAAGAAGCCAAGAGUAAGCAGUGCUUAAUAAAAGAAAAAAUUUCUCAAACGUGAACCAAGUCGUCAAGCUUCACCUUAUCCCAGAUGACUGUAUCACACCAGCUGAUGAUUAGUCCAGGGCAAAUGAGACUUCAGAAGAAGAACGAGCCACUUUUGUUACCUCUCAGGGUCGAGGAUGAAUUGGCACUCACUGCUUCCAAUCUUUAUCAGCAAUUCCUAAGAAAAAAACAUUGUUUAUUAUUUAUAAUAAAUCAGUGCUCCGAAAAUUUUGUAUUUUAACCCCACACUUUUAUUUUUCCCACUUUUCCUAAACAAGAUAUUGUUUCAGAAUGUUUAUAAAUUCUAAAUAUGUUAUAGUUCGCUAGAUUGACGGUUUGCUCAAAAGUAAUUUGUAUGAUCAAUUAUCUUUUCUAUUUUUAAUUUUAUCUUUACUCUCCUGUUCAUUGUUACGAUCAAAACUCUUGGUCAUAGUUUCACAUCUACGUGUACAAAAAAAGCUGGACGCUACUUGCGAGGAAAUGCUUGGUCGUCGACUUGAGGCAGGAGACCAAGCAGCUCAAGGCACAGUUGAGUUAGUUUCUUUCAUUUCUUCAGAUGUACAGUAUUUCUAGAGGAUGCUCGGAGCGUCUUCGUGGAGAUAGAGCAGCCGAACAAGGUUGCAUCAUAUCUAGAGUUGCGGAUUUCGACUAAUGCUCUGGCUAGAUGCGGAAAUGGCCUUAAUUCCGGUUGAGUUGGACCGUUUGCGGACCUCAUUUCAGCUGAAUUCGUUAGGGUUUGGUUGCGUGAUCAUGAAUGAAAAGUAGAUUUGGAAGCGCGAGAUUUCCCUCUGGAUCCAGGAAUUUUGAGAGUCAGGCCGAAAUGGAGAAGAUUUGGUGUCUCGGCUGCAUUUUCUUGCGCCGGCAUCUCAUUCCACGCGACGUUGCAUCACAUCUUGAGCAUCGAAGUAGUCAGUAAACUCAAGAUCCCUGAUGUAUCAUUCGAGAUAAGAUUUUGUUUAUAAACGGUUCCCAAGAUCCUUGGUGUCAUACCUCCAAGCAAACUUCUUCGCUUAAUGGUAAGAGAGCCAUCAUAAGCUAUGUCGUCUCAAAUCUGCAAUUGCAGAGCCCGCAUAUGUGACAAAAUGUCAAAACUGCGCUCAUGGAGUUGAUGUGUGAGGCUGUCUGCAGAGUAUCGGAGUAAACCCAUGGAUUUCGUUUAAUCAAGACGAUGGCUGAGGGGCACUCUUCCUUGUGGCUCUGAGGAUGGCACUGGGACCUCUGUUGCCUAGGCUGCAUCCAAACUCUCCCUAACUUUCGAAGUGGUGAACAAAAGUUUUUGGGUGAGAACAUGAUGGAGAGUGUGGUAAGUUGAGGAGGAAAGACUAAGAAAUCAUGCAAAAGAUUGGAAGGAAGAAGAGGAGAGAGGGAAGAGAACAAAGCACCUCUCUCUAUGUGAUUUUUAGGGCUGUGGAGUCCCAAAGGACUUUAAACAUGAUAACAGGGAUGGAGCUCAGCAUGGAUGGCUUGAACUCAAUGGACUUGGACACUCACUAUCACUAGCUAAGUUUUGUGGAGCAUUAUUGUAGCAUUCCCAUACCUUUUUAGCAUUUAAUUUUUACUAUUGAUUUUUGGUUUGCUUAAGCAAAUCUGUAAGUCUAGAAUAUGAGGAUAUUCUACCAUUUAAAAGUUGUUAUUCAUUGUUUAUAAUUUAUAAAACUUCUUAAGCACUUUCUAGUAUAUUCGUUUUUAUUUUACCAUCUAAUGGUUGAUAUGCAAUAAAAUUUAUAUUGUGUUUAUAAAUUAUAAACAUAUUUAUAAUUAUAAAUUUUUAUUUGAUUAAUUGGAUUAAUAAGUAAGAAUAACAUUACUAUUGAGCAAACCAAACAUUGCUAUGACUGAAAGCUCACCAUGCCUUUUCCCUCCUCUAAGGAGAAUAAUCUCCCCAACUUAGAGACUUAUUAGACCACUUGUGGUGGUUCUCUCCCUUUAUUUAGUUUAAUUUUUGUUAGACCCAUUAAAGACACCUUUUCUAUCUCUGCAAUGCGUAACUGAUUUUUACUAUUUUAUAUAAAAACACAAUAAAAUAUCCCUCAAACCAUUUUACAUAAUUAUUAGAGGCAGUAAAUUGCAUUUGUGAGGUUCAAGUGUACAAUUACGAUGCCAUAUACUAAUAUUAGAGUCGUGGGAUUUUGAUAAUUAUUAGAUUAGUUUUAAUAUUCAUUUCUAUAUAUAAACUAGGGUUUUGGGCUAAUUGAUAUACAUAUUUCUGUUUUCCAUUUUUAUAUUUUAUGCAUGGUGGAGGUGAAGUGUAGUUUUAAUUAUCCCUAUGAAGUGUUUGGAUUUAGUAUUUUAGUUUGAUCUAACUUUUAUAUAGUUUAAAUUUUCUUUUCUUUCUAGCUUUUCCAAUUUCUUCUUUGUUGCUUUUCCUUUAUAUUCAUCUUUAUGGCAGAGCUUUCUCUUUUAACUUUGGAGCAGUAGUUGGUGCAAUUACUUGAUAUUAUGUGAUUAUAAUUGAAUAAUCAAACUCAAUUAAUGGCAACAUUCACAGCAUGUGAUAGAACUCCUCACCAAUCCUUGCGUCCGGUUGGAGUUCUUUUGUGGGAGUCCUAGAGAUGAUGUGUACUAUUAGUUUGAUCAUUUUAUAGCAUAUAUUAUUUUUGGGAUAAUGCUCAGUGUUUGCAUGAAUUUCCCACAUGUGUUUAAAGGACAGUGUUAUAGUGGUAUAGUGGUUUAAGUGCAGUUACUCAUGAGGAUUAGAGCAUUCUCCUAAAUGUCUUUAUGCAUUUGGACAUGCCAACAAUUAUGAUGAUGCCUUCCAACAAUUGCAUCAUUUUUGUCAAAGGCUGUCUAAGUUAAUGAUGUAAUUUGAUGUUUGUUUUUUGCUUCAUACCAAAUAUGUCAGAGAGGAUCAAAUUAAAUGUUGUGGCCAACACUUCAUAAAGAUCUUGUAAAAUUUAUGUAUACACUUGCUCUAGCCACCCUAGAUAAUACUCUUCACUUGGCAUAAUGUUAUGAAAUGUUAUUUUUUCCACUUCUCAUUGUAUAUCCUUUAGUUCCAUUUCUUAUAAAAGAUAGUCAUGUUCUAAUGGAGGUGGAUGUUAUUGCCACCUAAGUUCAAGAACAAGGACGAAGACGUAAUUAUAGCUGUGAUGUUUAUUGUUGGGCAUAUGAUAAAAGUGGUUACAUUUAUGAGUAUUGUUAAUAUUUUCAAAAGUGGUGACCUCCAUUUCCUGGGUGGAAACUUUAAUAUCAACAACAUCCUAUUAGUGUUGUUACAAUAGAAAGUCUAAAUAUUGAGAUGCUUAUGAGAAACAAAGAGUUGUAAGAGUAAAGUGGGAACAUCCACAACACCAAGAAUUUCUUCGAUUAGAGCUUUGCGUCUUGGAAUCUGAUGAUCACUGCCUACUCGCAUGACAGCCAGGUGAAAUCUGCCAAGAGCCUCUUCAAUCAAACUCCAGCCAAGAACCUCCUCCUCUACAACGCAAUGUUCAUAACCUAUGCCCAAAAUGAGUGCCAUGCCCUUGCGAUUGAGCUCUUUGCCUUGAUGCUGUGCAGAGAUCUCGUCUCCUACAAUGCAAUGCUCUCUGCGCUCGCGAAAUCUAGCCCUAUUGAUCAAACCAAAGAUUUCUUCGACCUAAUUCCCGAGAAGAACAUCGUUCCAUGGAAUGCGAUGCUCACAACAUAUGCCGAGAAUGGGCAUCUGGAAAUGGCGAUUUCCAUGUUCGAUUCGAUGAGCCAUCAUGAUAUUGUGUCCUACACUGCCAUGCUCACUGCGUAUGGAUCGAGCGGCCAGAUAGAACACGCAAGAACAGUGUUUGAUUCGUCACCCCAGAAGGACGUUGUUUUAUCAACUGCCAUGCUCGCAGCAUAUGCCCAUUUAGGGUUCUUGGCAGAGGCUAGCACAAUUUUCCAAUCUAUGCGAGAAUGCAGCAUAAUCACGUGGAAUUCUAUGUUAGCUGCUCACGCAUUGAGCAGCACAAUCGAGAAAACGAAGUGGAUUUUCGAUUUGAUGCCGGUAAGAGAUACAGUGUCUUGGAUUUUGAUGUUCAGCGCAUAUGCCCAGAUUAGGCAUCUGGAGAAAGCGAUUUCCUUCUUCACGACAAUGCCAAUGCCACACGCAGUCCCAGAUCGCGUCGUGCCCUGGAACACGAUGCUCGCGGCGCACGGAACCAGCGGCCAGGACGCCGGGGCCGCGAAUUUGCAAGGUGUGGCCCCGGAUGCCGUCUCCUUUUGGGGGCGUUUGGCCACACCGGGGACGUGGAUUCCAGCUGGAGCUACCUUGUGUCGAUGCGCAGCGAUUACUCGAUCCAGCCGGAGAAGCUCCACUUUGGGUGGGCGAUCCGGGCUCGAGCUGGGAACUUCGAUUUCGCCCGGGAUCUCCUCGACAACAUGCCAUUCGUUCCAGGGAUCGAGCAAUUGAGCUGCCUGACACUGUUCUAGAGCCAAACAAAUUAGAUUUCGUCCAGGAACUUCCAGAGAUCGAGCAAUUGAGCUAUGACGCAAUCGCCCAUCUCGAGAUCUAGACUAGACAAUUGGUAGAAACAAAGAUCUUCCUCCUUGGUCCUUUCAAAGGGCUGUCUCUUCGCUCUUCGGAGCACUGGCCGCCUCGACUCUCUCCUGGACAGCAUCCACAGCCUUGUCUUGGACGCUGCUUUUCCCCUUGAGAUCCUCGGCCGCGGCCUUGAGCUCUCCCGCCGCGGCCUCUUUCUUCUCUGGAGCAACGUCGGCCUCUCUCGACUGAUAAGUGUGGAGAUAAUCCUCGGCCUUCUUUACGUAGUUCCCAAACGGCGUGCCUUCGAGCUUGCCAUAGUGUGAGGCGCCCUGGAGAAUGUCCUCGGCAGCGUCGGCGAGCUUGGCAGUGUCCAUACCCCCACCACCACCUUCCUUCUUAGCUCCUGCUCCUCCCAUUUGCUGCUUCGCGGCGUCUAGAAGAACGUUGGCACUGCCCAUAAGCUCCGAGUAGCUUGGAACUUCGCCGCUGGUCUUCUUUGCCUCCCCCGUGCUGCUCUUCUUUGGCUCCUCCGUGCUUGGUCCAUGGCCUGCUUCUUCCGUCUUUGGCUUCUCGCUCUCCUUCUCUCCGCUGAGAAAGGAUCCUGCCUGCUUCUUGAAGAAAUCCAUACAGGAAAAAAAGAAAUGUGAGCAGACAAAGAGAAGAUGAACCGAGAAGAAGAGCCGAGGGUAAACU